UCUAAAACUGAGAGCCACACACACAGAACAAACACUUUGAAGUUGAACUGUCCGCCUAACUGCCUGUCCUCUCAAACACAGAAUUCUCACAAUUCAGAGUCUUCACUUCAGACCCCAAGACUAACACAGUAACACUACAGUCUUCAGAUAAGCCUACGUAGCCAAACCAAAAAACCAGUUAUAUUCUUUGAAAAUAAAACAAACCCAGAUUUAUUUAUUUUUUAUACAUUUUUUUGUAAUGUGAAUUCCGAGAACCCAUUAGGGAUUAGACUAUGAGAGCCUGAGUGACCAAACCCACUUCUCAAAAUUCAAUCUUUUUUGUUUCUGUUUUUGAGUUCUGCUGCAUGAGUAGGAAGGAACCCAUUUGGUUCUCCUCCUUCAAGCCACAUCACUUGAAGAAGAAGAAGAAGAAGAAGCAACCAUGGCUACACUGGUCACAGCAACAAUCAACCAUUCCUCACUUCCUUUCACUUCAUUCAACAAAUUCUCGAUCCCCCAAGUUUCUAUACGGCUGCCACCACCUUCUUCUCGAGUUCAUAAUCGAUUCUCUUCUCGCAGAUUGUUGAGUUUCCAACCUUACAGUUCUUGCAGGUUUGAUAGUUUAAUUUCAAGCUGUUCAAUAACAAAUGCCGAUGUACAGUUCAACCAGGUUGCCGCUGAGGAUGAGCUCCCACAAGAUUUUUCAGAACUUGAACCUAACUGUUCAGUCCCAAUUGUUCAUCUCAAAUCUGAAAUUCUUGAGACUGAAUCAUUGAAUUUACUGACAGAAGAGACUUAUGUAGAUGGUCAUUUCACAAAUUUGCCUGUUUUAUCAGAGGAGGAGCAAAAUGCCCUUGCAGCAACUCCAGCCCAUCCAGCUGGAUUAUAUGCUCUUUAUGCCAGUUGUGUUGCUGGGAAUUUAGUGGAGCAGCUUUGGAAUUUUGCUUGGCCUUCUGCUAUUGCAUUGCUCCAUCCAAGUCUUCUACCGGUGGCUGUCAUAGGAUUCUUCACUAAGCUUGUAAUAAUUGGUGGAGGACCUUUGAUUGGAAAACUUAUGGACCAUUUCCCCAGAGUACCUUCAUAUAUUUGUUUGAAUAUUGUCCAGGCAGCUGCACAGUUGUUAUCUGCAUCAAUGAUUAUUUAUGCCCACUCUGUUCCUCAUAGCUCCACUUCAUCUAUGCUUCUACGUCCUUGGUUCAUUGUGCUAGUAUUAGCUGGGGCUGUUGAAAGGCUAUUUGGAGUGGCAACAGGGGUUGCUAUGGAGCGUGAUUGGGUUGUGCUGUUAGCAGGAAUAAAUAGGCCAAUUGCACUUGCAAAAGCAAAUGCUUUUCUAAGCCGAAUUGAUCUUCUCUGUGAGAUAGCUGGAGCAUCCCUAUUUGGCGUUCUUCUCUCUAUGUUUGACCCAGUGACUUGCUUGAAGUUUGCUGCUGGUUUGAUGUUAUGCUCAUUGCCCGUUGUGGUUGUCCUCACAUGGUUAACCAACAAGCUCUCUACUGGUGUUCUUGAUCGAACUAAAAUUUCACAAACCUAUUGCAGAACAUCCACUGGGGAAUCCUUGCCUGAGGAUGACAAUAUAGUGGAUAUAGGUCUGGAAGCUAUUAAACAUGGGUGGAAGGAAUACAUACAGCAGCCAGUUCUUCCUGCAAGCCUAGCCUGUGUGCUACUCUACUUCAAUGUGGUUCUCACUCCGGGCAGUUUGAUGACAGCAUUUUUAACACAGCGUGGUCUAAAUCCAUCAAUCAUUGGAGCAUUUAGUGGAGUAUGUGCUUUUAUGGGAGUUGCAGCAACAUUUAUAUCUUCAGAUUUAGUCAGGCGAUUUGGAAUUUUAAAGGCUGGAGCAGUUGGAUUGAUAUUUCAGGCUUCACUUCUUACCUUAGCUGUUGGAGUAUAUUGGAGUGGAUGUCUUACUCAGCAGAGCCCCCUUCUUUUCUUCUUAUCUUUGAUUGUAUUAUCGAGAUUAGGACACAUGUCAUAUGAUGUUGUGGGGGCACAGAUUCUACAAACUGCAAUCCCAUCAUCGAAAGCAAAUAUUAUUGGGACAACAGAGGUUGCAGUUGCUAGUUUGGCAGAGUCUGUAAUGUUGGGAGUUGCAAUUGUUGGAAACGAUGCUUCACAGUUUGGUUUUCUUGCAAUGCUGUCACUUUUAUCAGUGGUUGGGGCAGCGUGGAUGUACUGCCGAUGGUUGUUGAAUCCAACAGACGAACAAAUAAGUCUUUUCUCUUUUGAUCCUCAUUUUUAGUUCUCAUUCAGUUGAUCUUUCACUUUCGUUAGUGUGAAGGCUGUGUUUUUGACACAAGUUGGAGACAAGAUCUAUAAAUAUACCACAAUAUCCACAAUUAUCUAUAUAUAGACAUGAGUUUGACUCUUCUAAUCUGGAUUCCAUCAAACAUGAACUUCCAGUCUGCGACUCCAAGGACCACCUCAAAGAUUCUCACAGCAAUUUGUUUGUGUAGGCUUUGUGAGUUGUGACUUUAGCUUGAUCACCAACUUCUUCUAAAAUUGUUCUUCGGAUUCACUUUGAUGUCUCUGGUUAGAUGGUGGAUGGAGAGAAUUAGGUUCUAGAAACCUUAGAUACAUGUAAAAAUUUCUCUGUACUUGUAUUUAGUUGGCUCUUAUGAUCUCUUAAAUACUUUAGCAAGGCUCAAAAUUAAGUCAUGAGCCGACUUAAUGGACCUGAUUGAGAUUUAGAAUUCUCAAAAUUUGAUUGAUUGAGAGUUUGUCAAGGCAUAGCUUGAUCAAUCUAAAGAUAUGUAGAGCUGGUGUAAACUUCCUUUUUGUUGAGCUGAUCUUGGGUCUUCGUUUUGGACUUGAAUUACAACUCUAAAAAGCACAAGACUUACAAUU